rnacentral:rRNA from 1 species
UACAGAGGGUGCGAGCGUUACUCGGAAUUACUGGGCGUAAAGCGCACGUAGGUGGCUUUGCAAGUCGAUUGUGAAAUCCCCGGGCUUAACCUGGGAACUGCAGUCGAGACUGCUUUGCUUGAGUAUGGGAGAGGGAGGUGGAAUUUCCGGUGUAGCGGUGAAAUGCGUAGAUAUCGGAAGGAACAUCAGUGGCGAAGGCGACCUCCUGGACCAAUACUGACACUCAAGUGCGAAAGCGUGGGGAGCAAACAGG